rnacentral:rRNA from 1 species
AUUGAACGCUGGCGGCAGGCCUAACACAUGCAAGUCGAGCGGAUGAAGGGAGCUUGCUCCUGGAUUCAGCGGCGGACGGGUGAGUAAUGCCUAGGAAUCUGCCUGGUAGUGGGGGAUAACGUCCGGAAACGGGCGCUAAUACCGCAUACGUCCUGAGGGAGAAAGUGGGGGAUCUUCGGACCUCACGCUAUCAGAUGAGCCUAGGUCGGAUUAGCUAGUUGGUGGGGUAAAGGCCUACCAAGGCGACGAUCCGUAACUGGUCUGAGAGGAUGAUCAGUCACACUGGAACUGAGACACGGUCCAGACUCCUACGGGAGGCAGCAGUGGGGAAUAUUGGACAAUGGGCGAAAGCCUGAUCCAGCCAUGCCGCGUGUGUGAAGAAGGUCUUCGGAUUGUAAAGCACUUUAAGUUGGGAGGAAGGGCAGUAAGUUAAUACCUUGCUGUUUUGACGUUACCAACAGAAUAAGCACCGCUAAUUUC